rnacentral:misc_RNA from 1 species
UCGUCUCCUGUCAAAGAUUUUCAUUGUAAUAUGAAACUUUGAAUAGUUACGGGUCUCUGUAAAGAACUCACUAUAGACGGCGCCACGGUUCGCUUAAACCGAAAAUAAAAAUCAUCAUAUCAAAAGUUUCGCUCUAGCGGUAGUGUUCGUUCUGUAGCUUAUACUUAUAUCCGCUCCAUUGACUUCCAAAGAGUAUUAUUUACUUCCCGCUAUCAAGGAAUAUAAAAGCGGAAUUGAAAAUUUCAAUGCAGUUCGAGUUAUAGCAAAGUUCGCUAUGAGAGUAUUGUUAACCUUUAAG